rnacentral:lncRNA from 1 species
ACAUGCAAUUUCACUAUUUUCUAACUCCCAUUUUAUCCCCAAACAUUUCUAAAAAUGGAUAGGGUUAGCUAACCCGAGCUAACCCCAUCUCAAAUGGGUUAUCCCGGAUUAGCUAACCCCACUUAACCCCACCAAACCCCAACCAAACACUAUUUUCUAUUCAUAAUAACCCACUAUCCUUCUUAUCCCACCUACUCCAACCAAACACUAUUUUUCACUAUCCUGGACUAACUCCAACCCCCAAUCAAACAAAAAAAUACUCUAACCCCACCUUAACCCUAAACUUAAUCCUAUUUCUGGAAUAACUAGUUUUUCCUUAACCCCGAACCAAACGGUAGCAAAAGGUAUCUUAACUUUUAUCUUUUAUAAUU